CAAUAGCGUUCAAAUUACAUAUAAUAAGAUUUUUUGCAAAUGGUUUCUCUAAAAUUAUAGAUAAAUGUUUAGCUUUUUGAGACAAAUGUUUAAAUCAUUGGAGGUUUUAGCGGUGAUAUCAACAUUGAUUAGAUUGUCAUUAUCCACAUGUGGCGAUCUUCCACAUGGAAAUCUUACUGCAGCAGUUGUACAAGUUUCUACUUGGUUGAGAGAAAAUUAUCGUGAUGACGUCACAAAUUUAGAGCCCCACGUGGCAAGUUCGAUGAUAGUCGCAUUACGAUUGGCUGGUUAUCAACCACGAACAAUCCUUGCUGAUUUUCGAACCAGUAACAACGAAUCUAUCAUUCAGUUUCUCAAGGCAACAUUAGACAAGAUGACUGAUAUGAAACUGGGUCACUUGGCCGCUAUACAUCAAGCUAUUGCAUCAUUAUGUUACAAUACGCUAGACUUUUAUGGCCAUAACGUUACAAAUGCAUUUUUACAGAAUCUACCAAUAUUAAAUGACGUACACGAUGUAAGUUGCUAUGAACAAAACUUCGUUUUCUUGGUUCUAUGUCAGACUACAAGAACCACAAGAAUUCAAUCAAGUUUACUGAGUGUACUGUAUGACAAUAUACGAGUUUGCACGAUGAAGGCUGUAAAAUGUUCUAAAUCACCAGAUACUAUAGCAAUGGGUCUUAUGGCACUAUCUUGCUUCUACAACAAUAUUCACAACGGAGUUUACGGCAAAAUCUUGAACAGAUAAUCGAACUAUAUUACAAAAAUAUUCUUGGUAAUCUGAAAAAGAAAAAUGAAGUUUUGUGGAAUGUUCAAUCUAAGGCUCUCGUUCUUCAGUCUCUUGUAGUUGUACCCAAUCAUCUUAAAAAGAAAGAUUGCGGGUAUCAUAAAAAAUAUUAUCUGGUAUUUUGGAGCAUUACGAUCCUUUGAAAGUUUUUGGUAAUGUUGUCAGCAAUAUUCAAAUUCUCCCGGCUUUAAUGGGCAGGUCUAUAGUUCACUCAGAUCAAGAAUGUUAUAAAAGAAAUUUGAAGUACAAGAAGCCAAUAUUGAAGAAUAUUUGCGUGAAAAUUGUUGAUGUGAAGACGUCAUUGAUAAAACAAAGCAGGUGGUUUAAAGUGUACGAAAAUACAACAGCUUAUGAAACAUUGAAGUUAGCUUCACAAAGACAUCGAGACAGAACGUUUGAUUUUGAAGAAUUACACUCAUCUUAUGGUAAAAUGAUUACCUCAAUUUCAGGAGUGAAACAGAAUCCAGAAUCCAAUUAUUACUGGGCUUUGUAUGAGAGCGAUAAUAAAAGUCAAAUGACGGAGUAGAUGUUCUAAUACCCAAGAAUAAUACAUGUGUGAUUUUUAAAUAUGAACAAUAUUCAUGCAAAACAGAAAAUGUUCUUGAGUUAAAU